UACGUAGGGGGCAAGCGUUGUCCGGAAUCAUUGGGCGUAAAGCGCGUGUAGGCGGCCAGGUAAGUCCGUUCUGAAAGCCCGGGGCUCAACCCCGGGAGGCGGAUGGAUACUGCUUGGCUCGAGUCCGGAAGAGGCGAGUGGAAUUCCCGGUGUAGCGGCGAAAUGCGCAGAUAUCGGGAGGAACACCAAUGGCGAAGGCAGCUCGCUGGGACGGUACUGACGCUGAGACGCGAAAGCGUGGGGAGCAAACAGG
rnacentral:rRNA from 1 species